AGUGAACGCUGGCGGUAGGCCUAACACAUGCAAGUCGAACGGCAGCACAGUAAGAGCUUGCUCUUACGGGUGGCGAGUGGCGGACGAGUGAGGAAUACAUCGGAAUCUACUUUUUCGUGGGGGAUAACGUAGGGAAACUUACGCUAAUACCGCAUACGACCUACGGGUGAAAGCAGGGGAUCUUCGGACCUUGCGCGAUUGAAUGAGCCGAUGUCGGAUUAGCUAGUUGGCGGGGUAAAGGCCCACCAAGGCGACGAUCCGUAGCUGGUCUGAGAGGAUGAUCCGCCACACUGGAACUGAGACACGGUCCAGACUCCUACGGGAGGCAGCAGUGGGGAAUAUUGGACAGUGGGCGCAAGCCUGAUCCAGCCAUACCGCGUGGGUGAAGAAGGCCUUCGGGUUGUAAAGCCCUUUUGUUGGGAAAGAAAAGCAGCAGGUUAAUACCCCGCUGUUCUGACGGUACCCAAAGAAUAAGCACCGGCUAACUUCGU
rnacentral:rRNA from 1 species